rnacentral:siRNA from 1 species
AAGCUGUAGAUGACCCAAAGUC